rnacentral:rRNA from 1 species
CCUCGGGAAACUGAGUAUAAUGCCCGAUAGAACACUAUACCUGGAAUGGUUUGUGUUCCAAAUGAAUGUCGCCGUAGGAUGGGACUGCGGCCUAUCAGUUUGUUGGUGAGGUAAUGGCCCACCAAGACUAUUACAGGUACGGGCUCUGAGAGGAGUAGCCCGGAGAUGGGUACUGAGACACGGACCCAGGCCCUAUGGGGCGCAGCAGGCGAGAAAACUUUGCAAUGUGCGAAAGCACGACAAGGUUAAUCCGAGUGGUUUGUGCUAAACGGACCUUUUGACAGUCCUAGAAACACUGUUGAAUAAGGGGUGGGCAAGUUCUGGUGUCAGCCGCCGCGGUAAAACCAGCACCUCAAGUGGUCAGGAUGAUUAUUGGGCCUAAAGCAUCCGUAGCCGGCUCUGUAAGUUUUCGGUUAAAUCUGUACGCUCAACGUACAGGCUGCCGGGAAUACUGCAGAGCUAGGGAGUGGGAGAGGUAGACGGUACUCGGUAGGAAGGGGUAAAGUCCUUUGAUCUAUUGAUGACCACCUGUGGCGAAGGCGGUCUACCAGAACACGUCCGACGGUGAGGGAUGAAAGCUGGGGGAGCAAACCGGAUUAGAUACCCGGGUAGUCCCAGCUGUAAACUAUGCAAACUCAGUGAUGCAUUGGCUUGUGGCCAAUGCAGUGCUGCAGGGAAGCCGUUAAGUUUGCCGCCUGGGAAGUACGUACGCAAGUAUGAAACUUAAAGGAAUUGGCGGGGGAGCACCACAAGGGGUGAAGCCUGCGGUUU